rnacentral:misc_RNA from 1 species
UACGGAGGGUGCGAGCGUUGUUCGGAAUUACUGGGCGUAAAGCGCGCGUAGGCGGGUUUUCAAGUCAAUUGUGAAAUCCCGGGGCUCAACCCCGGACGUGCAGUUGAAACUGUUAAUCUUGAAUACCUAAGAGGAUGGCGGAAUUCCCGGUGUAGGAGUGAAAUCCGUAGAUAUCGGGAGGAACACCCGAGGCGAAGGCGGCCAUCUGGUGGUGUAUUGACGCUGAGGCGCGAAAGCGUGGGGAGCAAACAGG